rnacentral:rRNA from 1 species
AGUGGAUGGGGAGCAACCUAGUUGUGCGUGUGUAAAGGUAGUGCCAAGAAAAGCGGUGAUCAUGAUGAAAAUCAAUUCCCGGUACCCGAAACCGACACAGGUGGGCAAGUAGAGAAUACUAAGGGGCGCGAGGUAACUCUCUCCAAGGAACUCGGCAAAAUGACCCCGUAACUUAGGGAGAAGGGGUGCCACCGAGAGGUGGUCGCAGUGAAGAGGCCCAGGCGACUGUUUAGCAAAAACAUAGGUCUCUGCAAACUCGAAAGAGGAGGUAUAGGGGCUGACGCCUGCCCAGUGCCGGAAGGUUAAAGAAGUUUGUCAGUCUUAGGAUAAGGCUAGCGACUGAAGCCCCGGUGAACGGCGGCCGUAACUAUAACGGUCCUAAGGUAGCGAAAUUCCUUGUCGGGUAAGUUCCGACCCGCACGAAAGGCGUAACGAUCUGGGCGCUGUCUCGGAGAGAGGCUCGGCGAAAUAGGAUUGUCUGUGAAGAUACGGACUACCUGCAUUUGGACAGAAAGACCCUAUGAAGCUUUACUAUAGCUUGGAAUUGUGUUCGGGCUUCCUGUGCGCAGGAUAGGUGGGAGGCGAAGAAGGUAUUCUUGUGGGGAUACUGGAGCCAACGGUGAGAUACCACUCUCAGGAGGCUAGAAUUCUAACUUAAUUAAGGACAGUUUCAGGUGGGUAGUUUGACUGGGGCGGUCGCCUCCAAAAAGGUAACGGAGGCGUACAAAGGUUCCCUCAGACUGGUUGGAAAUCAGUCGCAGAGUGCAAAGGCAGAAGGGAGCUUGACUGCGAGAAGUACAGUUCGAGCAGGGUGGAAACACGGUCUUAGUGAUCCGACGGUGCUGUGUGGAAGGGCCGUCGCUCAACGGAUAAAAGUUACUCUAGGAUAACAGGCUGAUCUCCCCCAAGAGUUCACAUCGACGGGGAGGUUUGGCACCUCGAUGUCGGCUCAUCGCAACCUGGGGCGGAAGUACGUCCCAAGGGUUGGGCUGUUCGCCCAUUAAAGCGGUACGUGAGCUGGGUUCAGAACGUCGUGAGACAGUUCGGUCCAUAUCCGAUGUAGGCGUGAGAAUAUUGAGAGGAGCCUUCCUUAGUACGAGAGGACCGGGAAGGACGCACCGCUGGUGUACCUGUUAUGAUGCCAAUUGUAAACGCAGGGUAGCCAAGUGCGGAGAGGAUAACCGCUGAGAGCAUCUAAGUGGGAAGCCCACCUCAAGAUGAGUAUUCUGGUGUAAGGUCACGGGAAGACGACCCGUAAAUAGGCACGAGGUGGAAGUGCAGAGAUGUAUGAAGCCGAAGUGUACUAAUAGACCGUCGGCUUGACC